rnacentral:rRNA from 1 species
UACGAAGGGAGCUAGCGUUGUUCGGAAUCACUGGGCGUAAAGCGCACGUAGGCGGAUGUGUCAGUCAGGGGUGAAAUCCCGGGGCUCAACCUCGGAACUGCCUUUGAUACUGCAAAUCUCGAGUCCGAUAGAGGUGGGUGGAAUUCCUAGUGUAGAGGUGAAAUUCGUAGAUAUUAGGAAGAACACCGGUGGCGAAGGCGGCCCACUGGAUCGGUACUGACGCUGAGGUGCGAAAGCGUGGGGAGCAAACAGG